rnacentral:lncRNA from 1 species
ACCCUAAUACCAUCCCCAUGCUCCAUUUUCCUCUAAAUACUCUCCUUUCCUCUUCAAAAAUCCUAGAUGCCUCCUCCCAAAUCCUCUCAUAAUUUGGCUAAAUCAUGAAACUAUUUCACGAUCUGCUUACCUUAUUUGUAUUAUCUCGUUACCAUUCACACGUUUGUGGUAUUACUUAUUACUUGUCCAAUUUUGGAAAGUGCUACCUAUCCAAAUAGAGUGCAAUCAUCCUCAGGCUACAAGGUUCAGACGAAAACAGUUUGUAUACACUCUCGACAAGAUCGUAUGGAUUCUAUUCACCGAGAUUCUUGGUUAAAUUUUGACCACUUGUAAACUAGGGUUUGUCCGAUUUUUUUUACCCAUUUCUACUCGAAAUAGGCUAUGCAUGUGACUUUCCUUGUUCUUGCUUAAACUUGAUUAAUUUUCUUUUCUUAUUUGUAUUUGAAUAUUUGAUUUCCUUUUUUACUUGUUUGAUUUCUACUACUAUAUAAAACCCUCCCCUAUUCCUCUUAUGACAGACCUUUAAUCGGUAGAUUUUACUAAAAAUCGAAGUUAUUGUUCUAUUGUUCUCUCAUUCUCUUGUUCUAUACUUUGGUUCUUAGUCUGCUGAAAGUCAAGGCCACUGAAAUUGUAUUCUUUAACCUUUCUUGGUGCGAGCACUGCCCUGGGUUCAUUUGAAGCCCUUGGGAACUCUGAUGCAUUAGGAUUCUGAGUUCUUGCUCUUUGAUUGAUAUUCAGAAUAUUGUGAAAAUUAGUUCUUUCUUAUUGUUUUUUGUCAAUUGAAAACUGGUAAGUCUUUUGGCUUUUACAAUUUUUAUCCUUAUGUAUUCAUGAUUUGCAUAUUCUUAUCUCUAAAAUUCAUGAAUUAAUGUGUUAUGGGCUACUUCGAUGCGCAACCUUGUUUGUUUCGUAUUUAUUUUGAACCUCUUUAGCGUUGGAUUCUACGUAAUGCUACCAGUUCUAGGAUACGUUUUUAACUAAUUUGAAUAAUUUGGACUCUCUUAAGUUAGUUUAGCCAAUGUAUUGGUGGCUGAAUGUUCAGAUUUGUUGCUGGGCAUGAGUAUGCUUUCCUACUUUGUUCUGAAUCAUUAUAGUGAAUGCCUCACAUAUGUGAUGUGUUAUAACUUGUGUUAAGACCUUCACUAUUAACUAUGGCUUGCUCUCCUGUUAAUAUGUCCCUCAGCAUGACUUUGGAUCACUUGAUUCCAUAUCCCUUCACUGAUUACUUGAGACUUUAGAGUAUUUAUCAUAAUUUAUGUCUCUUUACCAUACUGUUUUGCUUCAUGAUGUAGGUUAACAUGUCUAUCUUUUGAUAAUGUGAUGGAUACUUAGCAUGAUUCGGACUCUUAAGCCUUACAUCUUCUAAUCCAGAGCCCUACUUAGACUUGUUAGGUAUUAUGCACCUUUUUAUGUUAAUUUUUAUAUCUCAGGGAACUUGAUUCUCCUCUAACUAUUUCAAUGUGUUUCUGCCAAUGUGUUACUUUCUUGCUAAGUAUUAAACCUAUAAUAAAAACAUACCUCUAAGUCAUGUUGACCUUCUUAACUAGCAAAUUUUGUGUUUUAGACAACUUUGCUAUGUCUUCUUUUAAAACUAUUAGUGUAUUUCUUCAAAUUAUGCCCCUCAAUCAUUGUUCUCUCACUCUCAUCUGUUAUCCAUAGUAUUCUGAAUCUGUCACUCUUGGCCGGCUGAAAGCCAAGGCCACCAAGACUCUCACUAUUGACCUCCUUAGUGUAAGGACUGCUCGGAGUUCAUUUGAGACCCUUAUGAACUCUGACACACUAGGAUUUGAGGUUCUUAGGCCACUAUCCUUACUACUGAUACCUGAGUUAUCCCUGAUACUCAGUUCUUUCUUCCUUCUAUCUCUUGAAUCUGCAAAUUAGUUUGUUUAAGUAAUGUCUGUGAAAUUCAAUAUUUGGGUCAUAUGGUAAAUCUGUGGCUGCUUGGUUUGGCUAGAGCUCCUCUAUGAUUUUUGAUUGUGCUGAUGGAUAUAGGUCCCUGUUGAGAUUUGGGUAUGCUAAUUGACGAAGAAAGAGUUCUGUUGAAGGCCCAGGCAAUACUAGGUGUUUCCUUUUAGGCCUUCUAUAGGCCUACCGUUACUGCUUGUAUAAUAUUUUAUAAUUACAUUUAUCAUUGGAUUUGUAAUAACUUUGUAAUAAAUAACUGGGGUGUUAGUGAAAUUGAACGAGUAUACUAUAUGUUUGCAUGAAAGGGUAGAAAAGCAAGCCUAUAUGACUCGUAUGAUCUACUUGUUAUUUUAUCCAAUCUUCUAUACAUUUUAUUCAGUCUCCAUGUACACUGGUAGAAAUCAUGCCACUAGGAGAAUCACACACUUGCACAACUUGCACUUUAUUUAUUCUUAUGCCUACUGCUCUGUGUUAUUAGACAAGAUGCCUAUAGGAAACAAACGUCAAUAAACAUUCCUUUGAUUUAUAUAACUUCAGCAUAUUCACUAGAUAUCAUGGUUAUAGGAUUAUAUUAGCUGAUGUUCUACUAAUUUUCACAUAAAAUCAUGUCUAUAGGACCUUAAUCAACCAAUUAGCUAUUGUUAUUGUUAUCAUACUUCUCUGCUUAGAUAACAUGCUUAUAGUGGUAAAGUGUUAUAAAAAUCAAGUUCGAUUGUCAAUUUCUAGAAAUCCUACCUAUAGGACAAUGUCACUCGCUUAAUUUUGUUUAUGAGAUCAACUUGCCAAGACUGGGAUCUCAGAACUGUUUUUCAUUGUUUAGCUAAAGCCACUAUUAGAACUCAUGCCUAUAGGACAAUGUGACUUUCUAAAAUUAACAUCUACAAAACCAGCGUUAACAGUCCUAAGGUUUACAAAUGGUUUAUCGCAUCCUCGUAUAAGCCACUAAAAGCAGUAAUGUUUUAUAUGUACAUUUAUAUCCAAGAUAACCUAGAAAUCAUGUCUAUAGGACUUAAGGAUUUUAAUUCGUAAACUAUCUAACUCUUAAUAUGAAAACCUAUUAUGUGUGCAUUUGUUGAAGUGUGGAGGCUAACUGAAGCCCUUUAACUGCCCUCAUUUGAAGUCCAACUUGUUUUGUAUGUCGUCUAGUUUUAUCAUUUUGAGCAACCUAAGUUAAGACUAGAACACCCCAAAUAGAGGUCCAAUGCCUCAUAGACCAUAGGUAUGAGACGGGUAGUGCACGAAAAUGGCAUGACUUAGAAUUGAAUUAGAGCGCUUAGGUAAAAAACUUUAAUAUAGUAAUCGGGUAGCAUGAAAUGAUAGUAUUUGUUGCCCGCUGAAUGAUAUGAGCAAUUCCCAACCUCAAUGGAGUUAUG